GGGGAAUCUUCCGCAAUGGGCGAAAGCCUGACGGAGCAAGACCGCGUGAGGGAGGAAGGCCCUUGGGUUGUAAACCUCUUUUGUCAGGGAAGAACACAAUGACGGUACCUGACGAAUCAGCCUCGGCUAACUCCGUGCCAGCAGCCGCGGUAAUACGGAGGAGGCAAGCGUUAUCCGGAAUUAUUGGGCGUAAAGCGUCCGCAGGUGGCUUAUCAAGUCUGCCGUCAAAGACCGGGGCUUAACCCUGGAAAGGCGGUGGAAACUGACAAGCUAGAGUGCCGUAGGGGUAGAGGGAAUUCCCGGUGUAGCGGUGAAAUGCGUAGAGCUCGGGAAGAACAUCGGUGGCGAAAGCGCUCUACUGGACGGCAACUGACACUCAGGGACGAAAGCUAGGGGAGCGAAAGGGAUUAGAUACCCCUG
rnacentral:rRNA from 1 species